rnacentral:rRNA from 1 species
GGGUUGUGAGGUUAAGCGACUAAGCGUACACGGUGGAUGCCCUGGCAGUCAGAGGCGAUGAAGGACGUGCUAAUCUGCGAAAAGCGUCGGUAAGGUGAUAUGAACCGUUAUAACCGGCGAUGUCCGAAUGGGGAAACCCAGUGUGAUUCGUCACACUAUCGUUAACUGAAUACAUAGGUUAACGAGGCGAACCGGGGGAACUGAAACAUCUAAGUACCCCGAGGAAAAGAAAUCAACCGAGAUUCCCCCAGUAGCGGCGAGCGAACGGGGAGCAGCCCAGAGUCUGAAUCAGCUUGUGUGUUAGUGGAACGGUCUGGAAAGUCCGACGGUACAGGGUGAUAGUCCCGUACACCAAAAUGCACAGGCUGUGAACUCGAAGAGUAGGGCGGGACACGUGGUAUCCUGUCUGAAUAUGGGGGGACCAUCCUCCAAGGCUAAAUACUCCUGACUGACCGAUAGUGAACCAGUACCGUGAGGGAAAGGCGAAAAGAACCCCGGCGAGGGGAGUGAAAAAGAACCUGAAACCGUGUACGUACAAGCAGUGGGAGCACCUUCGGGUGUGACUGCGUACCUUUUGUAUAAUGGGUCAGCGACUUAUAUUCUGUAGCAAGGUUAACCGUAUAGGGGAGCCGCAGGGAAACCGAGUCUUAACUGGGCGUUAAGUUGCAGGGUAUAGACCCGAAACCCGGUGAUCUAGCCAUGGGCAGGUUGAAGGUUGGGUAACACUAACUGGAGGACCGAACCGACUAAUGUUGAAAAAUUAGCGGAUGACUUGUGGCUGGGGGUGAAAGGCCAAUCAAACCGGGAGAUAGCUGGUUCUCCCCGAAAGCUAUUUAGGUAGCGCCUCGUGAACUCAUCUUCGGGGGUAGAGCACUGUUUCGGCUAGGGGGUCAUCCCGACUUACCAACCCGAUGCAAACUACGAAUACCGAAGAAUGUUAUCACGGGAGACACACGGCGGGUGCUAACGUCCGUCGUGAAGAGGGAAACAACCCAGACCGCCAGCUAAGGUCCCAAAGUCAUGGUUAAGUGGGAAACGAUGUGGGAAGGCACAGACAGCCAGGAUGUUGGCUUAGAAGCAGCCAUCAUUUAAAGAAAGCGUAAUAGCUCACUGGUCGAGUCGGCCUGCGCGGAAGAUGUAACGGGGCUAAACCAUGCACCGAAGCUGCGGCAGCGACACUAUGUGUUGUUGGGUAGGGGAGCGUUCUGUAAGCCUGCGAAGGUGACCUGUGAGGGUUGCUGGAGGUAUCAGAAGUGCGAAUGCUGACAUAAGUAACGAUAAAGCGGGUGAAAAGCCCGCUCGCCGGAAGACCAAGGGUUCCUGUCCAACGUUAAUCGGGGCAGGGUGAGUCGACCCCUAAGGCGAGGCCGAAAGGCGUAGUCGAUGGGAAACAGGUUAAUAUUCCUGUACUUGGUGUUACUGCGAAGGGGGGACGGAGAAGGCUAUGUUAGCCGGGCGACGGUUGUCCCGGUUUAAGCAUGUAGGCUGAUUGUCCAGGCAAAUCCGGAUAAUCAAGGCUGAGGUGUGAUGACGAGGCACUACGGUGCUGAAGUAACAAAUGCCCUGCUUCCAGGAAAAGCCUCUAAGCAUCAGGUAACAUCAAAUCGUACCCAAAACCGACACAGGUGGUCAGGUAGAGAAUACCAAGGCGCUUGAGAGAACUCGGGUGAAGGAACUAGGCAAAAUGGUGCCGUAACUUCGGGAGAAGGCACGCUGGUGUGUAGGUGAAGCCCCUGCGGGUGGAGCUGAGACCAGUCGAAGAUACCAGCUGGCUGCAACUGUUUAUUAAAAACACAGCACUGUGCAAACACGAAAGUGGACGUAUACGGUGUGACGCCUGCCCGGUGCCGGAAGGUUAAUUGAUGGGGUUAUCCGUAAGGAGAAGCUCUUGAUCGAAGCCCCGGUAAACGGCGGCCGUAACUAUAACGGUCCUAAGGUAGCGAAAUUCCUUGUCGGGUAAGUUCCGACCUGCACGAAUGGCGUAAUGAUGGCCAGGCUGUCUCCACCCGAGACUCAGUGAAAUUGAACUCGCUGUGAAGAUGCAGUGUACCCGCGGCAAGACGGAAAGACCCCGUGAACCUUUACUAUAGCUUGACACUGAACAUUGAGCCUUGAUGUGUAGGAUAGGUGGGAGGCUUUGAAGCGUGGACGCCAGUCUGCGUGGAGCCAACCUUGAAAUACCACCCUUUAAUGUUUGAUGUUCUAACGUUGGCCCCUUACCGGGGUUGCGGACAGUGUCUGGUGGGUAGUUUGACUGGGGCGGUCUCCUCCCAAAGCGUAACGGAGGAGCACGAAGGUUAGCUAAUCCUGGUCGGACAUCAGGAGGUUAGUGCAAUGGCAUAAGCUAGCUUGACUGCGAGCGUGACGGCGCGAGCAGGUGCGAAAGCAGGUCAUAGUGAUCCGGUGGUUCUGAAUGGAAGGGCCAUCGCUCAACGGAUAAAAGGUACUCCGGGGAUAACAGGCUGAUACCGCCCAAGAGUUCAUAUCGACGGCGGUGUUUGGCACCUCGAUGUCGGCUCAUCACAUCCUGGGGCUGAAGUAGGUCCCAAGGGUAUGGCUGUUCGCCAUUUAAAGUGGUACGCGAGCUGGGUUUAGAACGUCGUGAGACAGUUCGGUCCCUAUCUGCCGUGGGCGCUGGAGAAUUGAGGGGGGCUGCUCCUAGUACGAGAGGACCGGAGUGGACGCAUCACUGGUGUUCGGGUUGUCAUGCCAAUGGCACUGCCCGGUAGCUAAAUGCGGAAGAGAUAAGUGCUGAAAGCAUCUAAGCACGAAACUUGCCCCGAGAUGAGUUCUCCCUGAGACUUUAAGUCUCCUGAAGGAACGUUGAAGACGACGACGUUGAUAGGCCGGGUGUGUAAGCGCAGCGAUGCGUUGAGCUAACCGGUACUAAUGAACCGUGAGGCUUAACCUUACAACGCCGAAG